AGCCUACGGGACGCAGCAGUAGGGAAUCUUCCACAAUGGACGAAAGUCUGAUGGAGCAACGCCGCGUGAGUGAAGAAGGGUUUCGGCUCGUAAAGCUCUGUUGUUAGAGAAGAAAGUGCGUGAGAGUAACUGUUCACGUUUCGACGGUAUCUAACCAGAAAGCCACGGCUAACUACGUGCCAGCAGCCGCGGUAAUACGUAGGUGGCAAGCGUUAUCCGGAUUUAUUGGGCGUUAAGGGAACGCAGGCGGGCUUUUAAGUCU
rnacentral:rRNA from 1 species